AAUCAAACCUGCUAUCGUUUGGUUCACAGUCUGGCACUCAAUCCACUGAGCCAUACCCGCCAGGGUGGAACAGUUUUCUACUCCGUUGGUUCUUUACCAAGUACUGUAGAAGAAUAACCCUCUGAAACUUAAUAUCUUAUCAUUCCAUUCUUCCUUUGUUUAUGAUAGGUUUUCUGUGGGUAAUAAAUUAUUCUGUGAGCCCAUAGUGAAUAAUGGGAGAAACAUAUGAUCUGAAUAUAUCACUAUCACUGCAGACAGCCUCAGAAGUACACUAAAAAUCAGUUGUGAAUUGCAUAUCUCCAACAAUAGAUGUGGGAACCAAAUAGGAAGGUGUAGUGGAAGGUGAGAGAUUUGAAAGGAAAGAAAGAAUAUUCAAAUACAUAAACCACCAAAUUGGGAGGUUAAGAAGAUAAGAUACUGGCCAGAAACCAAUGGACCUGUGGAACACUGGAUAUAGACAGGAAAUGGAGCAAAGAUGUUGCAAAGUUGUAUUAUUUGUUUGGACCAGACUAUAAUUAAUACCUGUGUGAUCUGAUACCUGUAUUUUUGUAGAUAUAGUUUUAUGCUCUUUAGAAUUUCUUCCCCCUCCCAGUAUUUCGUUUAAAAACCAGUCUAUUUGAUUUGUGUUAAUAAGGAACACCACUGAAGGAUGUUAGUUAAUAUCUCUUAAGUUCUGGUUUCUUCAGAAGAUGAUAACCUGUCUUUUUAAGUUUACUAGAAGCAUCCAAAUGAGGUAAUUAAUGAAAAGUCCUUGUCACAACCUAAACACUCAGUGAAUAUUAGUGACUUAAAUGGAGUUUAUACCCUUAUAGAUUAAGUUCUGCCAAAUUUGUAUGUACUGUUU